rnacentral:rRNA from 1 species
GCGCUAAUACCGGAUACUUAAAUAUCUCGCAUGAGGUAUUUAUAAAAGGAGCCUUUAACACAAGGGGAUCGGGGUGCGUAACAUUAGCUAGUUGGUGAGGUAAUGGCUCACCAAGGCGAUGAUGUUUAGCGGGGUUGAGAGAUUGAUCCGCCACACUGGGACUGAGAUACGGCCCAGACUCUUACGGGAGGCAGCAGUAGGGAAUUUUCCACAAUGGGCGAAAGCCUGAUGGAGCGACACAGCGUGCAGGAUGAAGGCCUUCGGGUUGUAAACUGCUGUUAUAAGGGAAGAAAAAGUUGAGGAGGAA